rnacentral:rRNA from 1 species
GCUUGUCUCAAAGAUUAAGCCAUGCAUGUCUAAGUGUAAAUAAGUCUAUACUGUGAAACUGCGAACGGCUCAUUAUAUCAGUUAUAGUUUAUUUGAUACUUUUCGACUAUUGGAUAACCGUAGUAAUUCUAGAGCUAAUACAUGCGCCAAGUCCCGUCUUACGUCGGGAUGUAUUUAUUAGAUUUCAAUCAACACUUUUUGCUGACUCAUGAUAACUUAGCGGAUCGCAGAGGCCUCGCGCCGGCGACAAAUCAUUCAAGUUUCUGCCCUAUCAGCUUUCGAUGGUAGUGUAUUGGACUACCAUGGCUUUAACGGGUAACGGAGAAUUAGGGUUCGAUUCCGGAGAGGGAGCCUGAGAAACGGCUACCACAUCCAAGGAAGGCAGCAGG